rnacentral:rRNA from 1 species
UGGGGAAUAUUGCGCAAUGGGCGAAAGCUUGACGCAGCAACGCCGCGUGAGUGAUGAAGGCCUUCGGGUCGUAAAGCUCUGUCGAGAGGAACGAAUACCCGUCCUGCUAAUAUCAGGAUGGCUUGACGGUACCUCUAAAGGAAGCACCGGCUAACUCCGUGCCAGCAGCCGCGGUAAUACGGAGGGUGCUAGCGUUGUUCGGAAUUACUGGGCGUAAAGCGCGUGUAGGCGGAUUUAGAAGUCGGGUGUGAAAGCCCUGGGCUUAACCCAGGAAGUGCGCCCGAAACCAUAAGUCUUGAGGUCCGGAGGGGAUCGGGGAAUUCCCAGUGUAGAGGUGAAAUUCGUAGAUAUUGGGAGGAACACCGGCGGCGAAGGCGCCGAUCUGGACGGAUUCUGACGCUGAGACGCGAAAGCGUGGGUAGCAAACAGG